rfam:Lactobacillus coryniformis subsp. coryniformis CECT 5711 COR000002, whole genome shotgun sequence.
GUUCGUCUUCAGGGCAGGGUGAAAUUCCCGACCGGCGGUAAUAGUCCGCGACCCACCAAGUUAUUGGUGGCCGAAUUGGUGUGAUACCAAUACCGAUAGUUAAAGUCUAGAUAGAAGAAGAUAAGC